GAAUUUCAUGUCUUUUGUAUUAAAGAAUUAAAUGGAUGAAAUAUGAAGUUUUAUUAAAAGAAAAAGGGGUGAAAAGAACAAAGUUUUGUCCAUCUUUGUUCAUCAUAGCUGAAAGUUAGAGAAGAGAAAAGAGAGGAGAAAGCUCUUGAGUAUUCGGUCAUUAGGAGGAGGAAAAUUGAAGGAAAUCCCCAACCAUAGUGGGUUUGGAGCUGUGAGGGAAUUCGGAGUGACCACCCGUUCUGAAAGUUUGAUUUUCUUCUGGUGAACUGGACAUCCUUUUAAUUACGUUUGAGGUUUUGGGCUUUUAAAUGUAAUAAGGCCGCUUAUUUAUUUUUGAUGGUUUUAAUAUGUAUUACUAA